rnacentral:misc_RNA from 1 species
AACGCACAUUGCGCUUCCUGGUAUUCCGGGGAGCAUGCUCGUUUCAGAAUCAUUUAAAACUCACGCAAGCUUAGGGUUCUUUCACGUAAAGUGAACACCCCACUAAUUGGCGCGUGGAUAUGAGUGCUUUUGGCCAUCAUGAUUGGAGAACACAAACCACUAAUUGCCUUUUGGCGAUUAGACUGCGAGUUGUUCGAGUUCGGGUGGGCAGUGCGUAUCAAACUUGGUGCGUGCUCCCCUCACAUUCUCGUUCGCAAAGGUUGCAGGAAUGCGCCUUUGGUCAGUGGGUCUGUUCUUCCUUGCACUACACGAAAUGGGCUUCGGCUUCAGAUUGUGUGUAAUGUACUGUUCAUGCUGGUCACAAAUCGCUUUAAAAUGAUAUUGUACGCAACCCAUGCCUUUACUGGAUUGUCCAAACAGUGCGACAGUUUUUACUAGAUCACUUUAGGACGUCAUUAACACUAGAGGCAGGUGUGUGUGUAUAAUCACCUCUCCAACACAUUGCAUGUGGCGAAAGCCCGUGCUUUGAAACUUGGUCUGAAAUCGAGCAAGAAAACCCGCUGAACUUAA